CGGUGACCUGAGCGUCAAAGACAAACAUCCGUGGGCGCCUAGGAGGGGGACACAGGAGAACCUCACCGGUGACCCCAAUUCCAGAUUCGAACCCAGGUCUCCAGAGGGCCAGACCCUGGUCUGUGUGUGCCAUUCGCCCAUCCCUUCCAGGCUGGAGAUGACCUGUAGCCUAAGACCAAUGCCUGAAUUCUUGUGGCCCCUGGACACUUCAUGGGGCUGGAACCAAGCAGCCAUCUUGGACCAUGAAAUGGAAGAAGACGGCUGAGCUGCAAGAAAGAAUGACUGAUGCCAACUUUGAGAAAUCUUUCUUCCAGACUCUAGGCUCUUGAUUGAGAGAGAAAUAAACUUCUAUCAUUUUGGCACUGUUUUUCUUUUUGAGGUAGUGUCUGUCACUCACAGCUGAACAUAAUCCUGAUCCCUAAAAACUAGAACCUAUCCCCCAAGCCCAGGGGGCCAUCUACUGCCGACCAACCACACGGCUCCAUCCCAAGUCCUGAGGAACAUGCUUGGACCAGGUGGGUACCACUCAAGAUGUGCCAAUGAGUAACCCAAUAGCGUGGGUGAGCUCAGGCUGACCCCCAACACGGAGUUCCAGCUAGAAGGUACCAGUGGCCAGCCUUUGGGGUUUCCAGAAUGGCUGGAGGUUUGGUUGUUGAGAAGGGCAGGAAAAGAGCUUGAAAAAUGGCGAGGCUGAGAACAGAAGGGCUGACUGGAAAUUACUUGCUGGCUGGCUGGCU